UACGUAGGGGGCAAGCGUUGUCCGGAUUUAUUGGGCGUAAAGCGCGCGCAGGCGGUUCUUUAAGUCUGAUGUGAAAGCCCACGGCUCAACCGUGGAGGGUCAUUGGAAACUGGGGGACUUGAGUACAGAAGAGAAGAGUGGAAUUCCACGUGUAGCGGUGAAAUGCGUAGAGAUGUGGAGGAACACCAGGGGCGAAGGCGACUCUUUGGUCUGUAACUGACGCUGAGGCGCGAAAGCGUGGGGAGCAAACAGG
rnacentral:rRNA from 1 species